rnacentral:rRNA from 1 species
CGGCCGCGUCGACGCCUACCAAGGCAACGAUCUGUAAGUUGGGUCUUGAGAGGACGACCAGGCCACACCUGGGACCUGAGACACGGCCCAGACUCCUACGGGAGGCAGCAGUGGGGAAUUUUGGACAAUGGGCGCUAAGCCUGAUCCAGCAAUGCCGCGUGCAGGAAGAAGGCCUUCGGGUUGUAAACUGCUUUUGUCAGGGAAGAAAGUCCUCUGGGCUAAUAUCCUGGGGGGAUGACGGUAAUGGGUAAAGAAGCUACCGGCUAACUACGUGCCCAGCAGCCGCGGUGAUACGUUAGGGUGCGAGCGUUGUCCGGAUUUAUUGGGCGUUAAAGGGCUCGUAGGUGGUUGAUCGCGUCGGAAGUGUAAUCUUUGGGGGCUUAACCCUGAGCGUGCUUUCGAUACCGGGUUGACUUGAGGAAGGUAGGGGUAGAAUCGGAAUUCCCUGGUUGGAGCGGUGGAAUGCGCAGAUAUCAGGAGGAACACCAAGUGGCGAAGGCGGUUCU